GACACAAAAAUGAAACCGUAUCUACUGCCACUUUUGGUAUUGCUCCUCCUUAGCCUCGGCGAAGGACAGCGGAAGAAGAGACAAAUCGAAGUUUGGGUACGACCAGAUCCGGACCCGGAUUAUGGGAGAUGGAGUUAAGCAUGCUGCGAAUCUGCUGUUUUCGAGCUCGCACACGGUAUUUGUGUAUAUAUAUCUAUAUAUAUAUAUAUCUUUUGAAGAACAUACCUAUUUUAAAAAUGAGUAUUCUCUUGCUUUCAUAGUUUUCGAAAUCUAAGCGUCCAUACUGACGCCCAGACAGACGGACACGGCUAGCGUUCUGUUCAAGAACAAACUCAUCAACAGAGUUCGGAUACACUAUUUACUACCUCUUACACAUGUUUUCCUCUGACUUGAUACCAAGAAUUAAAUAUGACAACCUGAGAGCUCUGGAAAACCCCUCUCGCAGUGUAGGGAAAAUAUUUUUGCACGCGACAAACGACCAACGUGCGGGAUUAAGAGCCAGGCCCACCUGACACCCAGCGACGACCGUGGACGUGGACCGGCCCUCCUUCAUGAAAGCGUCCUGUCCAUCCUGUCCGACCCCUGGAUACGUGUCCCAUUGAUUGACUGGACUGGGGCACACACCUGCACACACCGGCGGCUGACAUUUUUGCAUAAAACUGAGCUGGGAAAAUCAAGCAAAUAAAACUUAUUUAGGUUGCAGCAACGGG